rnacentral:tRNA from 1 species
GCCGGGAUAGCUCAGUUGGUAGAGCAACAGUUUUGUAAACUGUAGGUCCCCGGUUCAAGCCCGGGUCCCGGCU